GCCCCUCCUGCCAUCUUGAUUUGGCCUUCUCUUUGUCUUCUGGAGUAGGAUAUCUUUUUUGAUAGCUCAUAGUUUAUUUGAUUGAAUGUUGUUCAUCAGUUGGUUAUAAUUUUAUUCCUUUUAUGAGAGAAGGUGAUCUCCAGUCCUUCUAUUCUACCAUUUUAAUCCCGUCUCCCACCAUUAUAGUACUUAUUGGGUGUUUCUGAGUCUUCCUUAUUUUGAGUGCUUUCAAGUAUAAUUCCAGGGGUUAGACUUGCAGAGCAGAAGUACUCAAAUAGGAUUAAAUGUAUACAAAACAAUUUCUUGCCCUAAAAAUAAUAAUUAACAUCACCAAAAUAAUAGAUAUUUAUGGAUUUUCAUGUUGAGCUAGCAACAGGCCUUACAAACGUCUCCUCUCUUUUACUUGAAAUAAAAGAUUUAGGUGAUUGUGCUGGAUUGUUCAUACUCUGCACCUGUGUCAUUUAAAAUACCAGUGCUGGUCCAGAGCCCUUCUAGGGGGAAUAGAAGCCUGAGGUUUGUGUCACCUAUCUAAGGCACACUUGAACCUAAGGGAUGGGAAGCCUCCUCCUCCAGGUGUCCUUCCUGCUCACACCCAUUAGAGAACACCCAGCCUUUAUCCUGAGAGAAACUACAGAGCCCUGGGACCUGGGGAUGCAAGUGCACAAGAAGUGGGGGUGCUAUUCUGAGUUAAGGAGGGUCCCUUGGGCCUCUUUCAAGAUAGAGGUUUCAGGUUUGCAGCCAUAUUGGAGGGAUACUCAGAGUGUAAUAAAUGAACACUGAGAAAGUUUGUGAAAUUCAGGAGUUCUGUUCCCUGGAUUAGGGUUCAUGAAUUGGGGACUUCUUUGGAGUCAGAACCUUAAACUAACUCUCAGUUAUUUCCUCACUUAUGAGAAUGGAAGUUUGAGGUAUGGAGCUUUUCAGUAUUCCCAAGGAAGAGAAGCGUGGGCAGAGCUCCCAGAAUUUACUCCUGUGGCUGCUCAGGUGUCUCCACCCCCCUUCUCCAAGGGACUGACCCAUCCCACGGGUUGUCUCUCAACUAGGAGGGUCUGGAUGUGGCUUUCCUUCUGUCCCAUGGGAAGCCACAUCCAGAUCCAGGCUGCUGGCCUGUCCUGGCACCAGUAUUUUUUUUCCCAUUGGUUUCCUUUAUCCAUUGAAUAUUACACCCAUUUGAUUCUUUAUACUUUCCUUAGCUCUGGAGUUCUAGUCCAGAAUUUAUUGCCAGGCACCCAACUUGGUACCAAAGAAAAAUAAAGGGCAGCUCAUCCUCAAAAGACUCAGUUGUGGCUUUUAGGGAAGUAUCUUAUAGACAAAGGGAGGAAGAGGAUCAUGUUGCAUUAUUCUCUGAUUGGUUGAUGGUGGGGUAACAGGGUGUUAUUUCAUGAGUUAACAGCAUCACCUUUUGGUGCCAGUCUGGUGUCCACCUGCUUGUGGUCAGCAUGCAGUUAAUGUCUUCCACCUGGUGGGAGUUUUAGUAUUGAAAAACAACUCAAAGACGUGGCUCAGAUCAUUACCUAUACCCUUGAGGAGGAACUAAGGUCCUUGAUUUUGUUUUUUUGGCUAAACCAUGUUAUUGUCUUACUUGACUCUUUUCCUUUGUUUCAGCAUCCCCCCCUUCUCUAAUUAAAUUUGUUCUUUUGAAGACUAGGAGGCUAAAGUUUUCCUAUAAGCAUGAGGUAGGGGACACAGGGUUCUAUCCCCACAGGGUCCUGCUUGGGUCCAAAUAGACUGCACAUUAGAUGAUAACAUAAUAUUCCUAACUUUUGAAAUGUGGUAUUGAUAUUAUGGUUACACAAUAAAAUGUUUUGAUUUUUAGUGAUUGUUGCUGAAAUAUUUAAUGGUUAAGUGUCAUGAUAUUUUCAACUAUCAAAUCAUUCAUAAAAAAGUAUAUUGACAUCUAUAUGCUGUCAGUUCUGCUAUAAAGUGUUUUGAAAACAUGAUCUUUUUCUGGGCAUUGAUAAAUUUGGAAACAAUUUGAACAUAAUGUAAAUAUCAUGUUAUAUGCAGUUGCCCCUACAAGAUAUACAAGAGGGCUUAGGUGCGUAAAACUGCCCCCAGCUGAACCUAGAAAGGCAGGCAUACACAAAACAUGUGCACACAGCACAAAACUCUAUAAGCUCAAUCAGUGCCCCUCAGAUGUUGUGAGGGAUCCCCAUAUCCAUUUAGGGUUCUGACUCUGAUUUAAGGUAACUCUCCUUCAUCCUCUUCACAAUAACUCACAAGAUACAAACCUUCUAAUGACCACUUCUGCAAAUAAAAUACAGACCUCUUUCAGGGCAAAAUGCUCUAUUUAUUGCAGUGUUUUUCAAUUUCUUAACCAUUCAACACAAGUAAAGUGCUGUUUUAUUGCACUCCUUUUUUUUAAAUGUCAGUGACAAGUUGUGAGUGUUGAGCUCCAAUCCUGUUUUUCCCAGAAGCCCUGAGGUUUUCAUUGUGUGAUUUUGCCUAGCAGUGGUUAGGAACACCUAUGAACAAAUAAUUAAACCACUGGAGGGAACAGAUUCCAGCCACUUGGCUGAGGCUCAUUAGGUUCAGGUGAUCUUCUGUCUGGUUGUCAAUCUGGGAAAGGAGGUGGGUAGGUUCUUAUGAACUGCCCAAUCAGGGGCUCAGCAGGGGAAGGUGGGUGCGGCAACAGUUAGCCAACCACUUGGAGGAUGGUUUCAGUGCUCAGGAUUGCAUUUCACCUGCUCAGUUGGGGCAGUCUCUGCUGCAGCGUCUCUGGCCCUGUGAGCUGCAUGGGUGGCAGGAGUGGAAGGGAGGAUGCCAGGGUGGACCCAGAAGCCAGGAAAUGGUAGCUCUCCUUCCACUUCUUCAUUAUAACUCAUGGAUUUCAAGCUUUAUGAUGAUGAUUUCUGCAAACAAAUGGCAGGCCUCUUUCAAGGGUACGACCCCUGGGAUGCCAGGAGAAGUGAUCUCCCCUGGAGCCAGUGGACCAGUUGAUCCGUAGUGGACUAGCCCUCCUGGCAUGCCAGGGUGAGGACCCCGAGAGCACAGUGGAACCCAGUGAAGCCCAGGAACCAGCCAAGGGAGCACUGCCCAUCAGACUGGGCACUUGGAUCACAGCGUAUGUGGCAUCUCUGAUGAAAUUUCUGGGGUCAGACAUGGUCAAUAUGGAUGGCAUGAAUAUUGUCCCCAGCCCUUUGGAAGACUCUGGUAAGGCUCUCUCACUCUGAAGAGGAAUAUCAUAAUCAAUUAUCCUAGAGCAUUUUGUCGGGAACUCUGGGUGAGGUAAAUUAUUAUUUAG